rnacentral:snoRNA from 1 species
CAUAUUUUAUGUUUUAGUAGUCUGUAAACUUCACAAUUUCAAGCUAUUACUAUCUUCGUCUUAUAUGAGGUAUAAGAGAGAAGUAUGUAAUAGCUUGACAUUG